rnacentral:rRNA from 1 species
GGUGGAGUGAUCUGUCUGGUUUAUUCCGGUAACGAUCGAGACUCCAGCCAACUCAAUAGUUGCUGGACUUCGUGUCUGGUUUACUUCUUAGAGGGAUUAGUGGCGUUUAGUCACACGAGAAGGAGCGAUAACAGGUCUGUGAUGCCCUUAGAUGUCCGGGGCUGCACGCGCGCCACACUGGGAGAAUCACUAGGUGUUCCAUUGCCGAAAGGCGUUGGUAAUCCUUUUGAACCUCUCCCCGUGGCCGGGAUAGGGAUUUGUAACUAUUUCCCUUGAACGAGGAAUUCCUAGUAAGUGUGAGUCAUCAACUCACGUUGAAUACGUCCCUGCCCUUUGUAC